GUAGUCCACGCCGUAAACGAUGAUAACUCGUUGCCGGCGAUAUAUUGUCGGUGACUUAGCGAAAGCGAUAAGUUAUCCACCUGGGGAGUACGUUCGCAAGAAUGAAACUCAAAGGAAUUGACGGGGGCCCGCACAAGCGGAGGAACAUGUGGUUUAAUUCGAUGAUACGCGAGGAACCUUACCCGGGCUUGAAAGUUAGUGACGGAUGCCGAAAGGUGUCUUCCCUUCGGGGCACAAAACUAGGUGCUGCAUGGUUGUCGUCAGCUCGUGCCGUGAGGUGUCGGGUUAAGUCCCAUAACGAGCGCAACCCCUACCGUUAGUUGCCAUCAGGUCAUGCUGGGCACUCUGGCGGGACUGCCGGUGUAAGCCGAGA
rnacentral:rRNA from 1 species